GCAUCUACCGAUUGAAUGGAGAGGUAAAAUCUCCGGACUAUGACGCGUUGGGGUCAAACCUAAUGCAGUCGUGGAAAGUGGAUUAAACCUUUCCAUUUAGAGGAAGAUGAAGUCGUAACAAGGUUUCCGUAGGUGAACCUGCAGAAGGAUCAAGAUGGGAAGAGCACCCGUCUGAAGUACAGUCACGUGGCCUCAUCCUGUACGCUGUCGUCUGCCUGAAAAAAAAAAAAACGCUCACAUACCUCCUAUUCUACCUUCUACUUGCCAUAUGUUAACC
rnacentral:misc_RNA from 1 species